CCUACGGGUGGCAGCAGUGGGGAAUAUUGGGCAAUGGGCGCAAGCCUGACCCAGCAACGCCGCGUGAGGGAAGAAGGCUUUCGGGUUGUAAACUUCUUUUAGCAGGGACGAAGAAAGUGACGGUACCUGAGGAAUAAGCCACGGCUAACUACGUGCCAGCAGCCGCGGUAAUACGUAGGUGGCAAGCGUUAUCCGGAUUUACUGGGUGUAAAGGGCGUGUAGGCGGGACUGCAAGUCAGAUGGGAAAACCACGGGCUCAACCUGUGGCCUGCAUUUGAAACUGUCGGUCUUGAGUGCUGGAGAGGCAGACGGAAUUCCUGGUGUAGCGGUGAAAUGCGUAGAUAUCAGGAGGAACACCAGUGGCGAAGGCGGUCUGCUGGACAGCAACGGACGCUGAGGCGCGAAAGCGUGGGGAGCAAACAGGAUUAGAUACCCUUGUAGUC
rnacentral:rRNA from 1 species